GCCAGUGGCGUCGGUGGCACGAUUUGCCCAGCUUUCUAAGGAGGCGGAACUGGACAGAGCUCCUGGACCAGGCAAAUAGGAGCAAAGUUUUCGAGGCAUUUAUGGAGACGCCCCAGCCACAGAGCCCACAGACGAUCAGAGACACUGGACUCACACCACGGAGGGUCAGAACUCUUCUGCUGUGAAUCCUACCCAAAGAACAGAAGAGGAAGGGAAAACCUGAAGGUGCUGUGGGUCUCCCGGAGCUAAUUUUUUCCGGACUUGAGAUGCCUCAGGUCACUGCAACUAAGGGCGAAGUAAUCGGGGUGAGACCUCCAGCCGGGAGGACUAGAGAAGGGGUCCCUGGCGCCCCUCGACCGGCCGGGCACCCCUGCUGUGACCCCACGCUUUCUCGGAGCCGGAUUCAUGUAUAUCUGUGGCUGCUUUGAGCGUCUCCAGGCCAGCGGCUCCUACAGCCAAGCGUGCAUAAGAAUAAGAGAGUUACUUAGCGUGGGCCUAGAGAACGGCUUCGUGGCUAAGAAGAGUAUGCACUGCUCUUCUAGGGGACUUGAGGUUUAUUUCCAGCAACAACAUCAAGCUUCUCCCUGCUGUUUGUAACUCCUUUCUGAAUCCUCUCAACUCACAGAUACAUGUACAAACCCGCACAGGUCAUGAACACUAUUAAAAUUAAACAUACUUU
rnacentral:lncRNA from 1 species